AUUGAACGCUGGCGGCAGGCCUAACACAUGCAAGUCGAACGAGUGGCGGACGGGUGAGUAAUGUCUGGGAAACUGCCUGAUGGAGGGGGAUAACUACUGGAAACGGUAGCUAAUACCGCAUACCAUCGGAUGUGCCCAGAUGGGAUUAGCUAGUAGGUGGGGUAAAGGCUCACCUAGGCGACGAUCCCUAGCUGGUCUGAGAGGAUGACCAGCCACACUGGAAUUGAGACACGGCCCAGACUCCUACGGGAGGCAGCAGUGGGGAAUAUUGCACAAUGGGCGCAAGCCUGAGACAGCCAUGCCGCGUGUAUGAAGAAGGCCUUGGGGUUGUAAAGUACUUUUGGCAGGGAAGCGGUAUCUGCAGAAUAAGCACCGGCUAACUACGUGCCAGCAGCCGCGGUAAUUC
rnacentral:rRNA from 1 species